rnacentral:rRNA from 1 species
AGUGAACGCUGGCGGUAGGCCUAACACAUGCAAGUCGAACGGCAGCACAGUAAGAGCUUGCUCUUACGGGUGGCGAGUGGCGGACGGGUGAGGAAUACAUCGGAAUCUACUUUUUCGUGGGGAUAACGUAGGGAAACUUACGCUAAUACCGCAUACGACCUACGGGUGAAAGCAGGGGAUCUUCGGACCUUGCGCGAUUGAAUGAGCCGAUGUCGGAUUAGCUAGUUGGCGGGGUAAAGGCCCACCAAGGCGACGAUCCGUAGCUGGUCUGAGAGGAUGAUCAGCCACACUGGAACUGAGACACGGUCCAGACUCCUACGGGAGGCAGCAGUGGGGAAUAUUGGACAAUGGGCGCAAGCCUGAUCCAACCAUACCGCGUGGGUGAAGAAGGCCUUCGGGUUGUAAAGCCCUUUUGUUGGGAAAGAAAAGCAGCAGGUUAAUACCCCGCUGUUCUGACGGUACCCAAAGAAUAAGCACCGGCUAACUUCGUG